UACCUCAUAAUGCAGCGGAUCCGCAUGGAUAUGUUGUUAAAGGUUUACCGCCUUGGGAUAGGCUUGCGUCUGAUUAGCUAGUUGGUGUGGUAAUGGCACACCAAGGCUACGAUCAGUAACUGGUCUGAGAGGAUGAUCAGUCACACUGGAACUGAGACACGGUCCAGACUCCUACGGGAGGCAGCAGUGAGGAAUAUUGGGCAAUGCACGAAAGUGUGACCCAGCAACGCCGCGUGGAGGAUGAAGGUAUUCUAUAUCGUAAACUCCUGUGAGAGCAGACGAAAGACAGAUUAUUAAUUUGGAUGACUGUAUGCUCAGAGGAAGCCCCGGCUAACUACGUG
rnacentral:rRNA from 1 species